GGAAUUCGCCCUUAGAGUUUGAUCCUGGCUCAGGAUGAACGCUGGCGGCGUGCUUAACACAUGCAAGUCGAACGGGGGUCAUUUUGCGGAAGUCUUCGGACGGAAGUUUUAUGACUCGAGUGGCGGACGGGUGAGUAACACGUGAGCAACCUGCCUUUUGCUGGGGAAUAACUGUGGGAAACCAUGGCUAAUACCGCAUGUUGUGCCAACUGGGCAUCCGGUUGGUAUGAAAGGAGAAAUCCGGCAGAAGAUGGGCUCGCGUCCGAUUAGGUAGUUGGUGGGGUAAUGGCUCACCAAGCCAACGAUCGGUAGCCGGACUGAGAGGUCGAACGGCCACAUUGGGACUGAGACACGGCCCUGACUCCUACGGGAGGCAGCAGUGGGGAAUAUUGGGCAAUGGGGGAAACCCUGACCCAGCGACGCCGCGUGAAGGACGAAGGCUUUCGGGUUGUAAACUUCUUUGGGGAGGGACGAAAUUGACGGUACCUCCAGAACAAGCCACGGCUAACUACGUGCCAGCAGCCGCGGUAAUACGUAGGUGGCAAGCGUUAUCCGGAUUUACUGGGUGUAAAGGGCGCGCAGGCGGUUCUGAAAGUCAGAUGUGAAAGAUCAAGGCUUAACUUUGACAGGUCAUCUGAAACUGUGGGACUUGAGUAUCAGAGGGGAAAGUGGAAUUCCUGGUGGAGCGGUAAAAUGCGCAGAGAUCAGGAGGAACACCGGUGGCGAAGGCGACUUUCUGGCUGACAACUGACGCUGAGGCGCGAAAGCGUGGGGAGCAAACAGGAGUAGAUACCCUGGUAGUCCACGCCGUAAACGAU
rnacentral:rRNA from 1 species